rnacentral:rRNA from 1 species
GUCUACGGCCAUGCCACCCUGAACAAGCCCGAUGUCUGAUCUCGGAAGCUAAGCAGGGUCGGGCUUGGGUAGUACUUGGAUGGGAGACCACCUAGGAAGACCAGGUGCUAUAGGCA